rnacentral:lncRNA from 1 species
ACUCUCCACUCCGAGGCUCAGGGAGCAAGUGCCUGGCAUGGGGGACGCCGAAAGAAGCCUGUUUGUGUGCUGCGGCCGUGCUGUGACUUUGGAUCUUGUCUUUCAGCCGGCGCCUCGGUUCCUGCCCAGCUGGAUUUGGGGGGCAGCAUUGCCUGGCGCAGGGAGAUCAAAUGAGACUGCAAAGAAGCAUAAAAUGAAUAGACAAUCCAACCAACCAAAGACCGGGGGCAGCAGCAGGCCAGCAAGACGGCAUCUUCUCCUUCCCAGCCUAGAAGCCCUGUGAAAUCGAGGAUCUUCCCCCUAAAACACAUACACACAAGAUAUGUGCAAUCAAGCUGCCACCGCUUGGUAAAAAGCCAUGGUGCCUAACCAAAAAGGAUCAGGAACAGAUCCUUGAAUCAGCUGUCACUUCUAUAGAAUGGGAUUUUUUUUUCCUUCCUCCUUAACCUGCGCUGGAAAUUGCCGUUGGCUUUAUACAUCUCUAUAGAGAGAGGCUAAAGAGUCUUGCGUGAGAAAGAAGCAAUUUACAAUGCAAAUAGAGGCCUGUGAAGGGACGGAUGCUGCUGCUCACUCGUAACAGCUUGCUGCACCUUAAUAGCUGGUUUUAUUUUCUGAUAUUAAUAGAUGAAUUGUUGGCUAACGCUGCCGGAGAUUACUUGCUGAAAGGAAAAAGAAAAGUUCGGAAUAAACUCUGAAGGCAACAGAUCUCGUUUGGAUGUUUUAGCCGCGCACACACACAAACAGAAACCAGGUCAUAUUUACAUAAAAGGAGGAAUCUUAAGCGCGGCAAGUAUCCUGGACGACCACUCUUCGGUACUGCCAGAAAGGAUCAGGACCUGGAGUCUGGCAAGAGGAAGACAGAGGCCUGUGUGGGAAGCGAGUUGUUAUCUUUGGUUAUCUAGCUGUAUGAGUGUAUUGGUCUUCAUAAAGCUAGAUAACCGAAAGUAAAAACUCCUUCAAGAUCGCCGGGGAGCGUGUGAGAAUGAAAGACUACAGCCGAGAGACAGUAAAAACCAGAAAGGUCAGGAAUACUUAUUGAAUCUAACUUUGUUUUUGUUUUGUUUUUUUCCUUAUGAUUAAAGGUGGGAUGAGAGAAAAUUAAAUGACACACACAUGCUAAAAUAUCAAGGUUCCAGAUAUGUCUUGAGAGGGGUUGUUGCAGCUGCAAAGGAGAAGUGUAUAGUGAUAAUGAGUAAAGAUGCAUGUGCAGUUUGUUCUAUUUUAAGGCAAAAGUUAUAUCAGGGAUUUUUUUCUUAGAAAGGUGUUGCAGAGAUGUCUGGUACCUAGUUUAAAAAUGAUUCCAUAAUAUGUAGACUUGGGCAGUUCCUUUGGGAGGCACCUCCCUCUCAAAAUUUGAAGAUUGUGCUUGGAAAUUACUUUACAUGUAUUUGGGCUGUAUGUCAAUUUGUACGAAAUUAGACUUUCAGAAAAGUUUAUACUGGAAGGUUAAUAAUUUGUAUCUACUGAGGACUUAGAGCUAGCAGGCAAAAUGAAAAAAAAAAAAAAAAAAGCAAGGGCUGAUUUUUAUUCUUCUAUUCAAAAUACAAGGACAGAUGCUUCUCUGUUCCAAGAGGGUUUCCUUGAGGAAGCUACUGAAGCAGAAAGACAUGAUGGAGACGAGAUCGCCUCCCCUCUUGUCAAAGUGUUAAAAAAAUGUUCUGUCUUACUCUGCGCCUAGCAUUGGAAAUGAAAGUGACAUUUACGCCACAACCCACGUGUGCGCCUCCUCUCUUUUUGUUUAAGGAUGAUCAGGUCUAUCCAGGAAACAGCUCUGGCAUCCCAAACUGAAAUAAUUAGGACGUAUAUAGACCUGACAAAAAUGGAAAGGGGGUGGGGAAUCUGAGGGUCUGUCUUGCCUAAUUGAUUCCGCUAAACGGAAUGCAGGAGAUGUGAACGGCAGGACGCUCCGAUUCCCACGCUCGGGGGCAAGUGAUAAAGCGGGGCCGGGCAGCCUAUGACAGACAGCCCUGUUGGGGGGUGGGGGUAUGAAAAAAACAUCAAGUGCACACACCAUACUCAUCUCCAUCGCUUAAGAAAGUAAAGGCAUUUCCCACCCACAGCCAUCUGCAGCUUCCCAAAUGGCAGCACCAACUGGUCUGUAGCUGCUACAUAGUCUGCUUCUGUUAAUUUUUUAACCACUGUUUAAUCUGGCCAUAAUUAAGUUUGGCUUUCUUCGUUGUUUGAGAUUUUCAGAAUUCAAGGCAAGCUAGUAGAAAGCAAUUCCAAGAAAGUCCCAUGACUGCCUGCCCCUAAUGUCAAAAUCUCAGUCCAUGAGAUUAUGGCCUUGUGACCACAUUUUUGCUUUUGUUUUGGGUGGGCAAAUGUGUAUAGAGAUAAAAUACAUAUCUCUAUAUAACAGUCGUUAUUAUAAUUUCAUGAGGCUUUUUACCUCUUAACAUGAUACAUCUAGGAACUUGGUCUAAUUGUGCUAGUAGAUAUACACUAGAAGUAAAACUAUAAAGUCAUUAGCCUGUAGAAAGUUGAUUAUGAUAACAAUAUGAUAAAAAGUUUGUUUUGGAAUAGUCUCAGCUAGAUGGGUCUAAAUAGCCAUUUUAAUGUAAUCUAAAAAUAACACUAUGCCUAGCAGAAACUUUGGCGCUUUGGAGGUCCCCAUUGUCGCCUUUUCAUAAAAGUCCUUAAGUUUUCCAUAUGUCACCAAGCAAACAUUUGUAUAGGCAUUUACACAGAAAUAUAACCAUUGCAAUUAGAAAAUAUCCAAAAUAGCCUGUUAUCUUCCACGUGGCCUAGAUUAUUGACAAUCCCAAAUAUACAAUUUUUCUUUAAAAGUAGUACAAUUUCCUUUGUAGCUUCAAUUCCUUAUAUGACUUCAGACUGGAGAAGCCUGUUAAACCACUGUUAGUUUCAGUUAGAAAGUCUGAGAGACUUUAUACAUAAAUUCUCAAUUUGGCUGCUGUACACGUGCCAGAGUUUUACUACUGUAGUGACCGUUGAGAAGACCCUUGUUUAUUUACAUUUGAAGCACUGUUUGUGCAAACAACCUUUCAUUGUUAAGUGCCUGUAUUCCUUUCAUUUACUUCAUGUCCAGGGGUGCUAUUUACCUAGAACCAUUGUCUACUACAAUUAACAUUUACAUUACAAAGUGUGUGGUUUUCUUUUUCAAGGAGGUUCAAUUAAGGCAAUAAGAUGUUUGCUGGAGAAACCUAUUGUUUACUGAAAGCACUCAAUGAAGUCAAAUUACUGAAGCUUUUGCCUACAUCUUGGUCUUUUAUGUAAAUAUGUUAAAUAUAACAUCUAAGGAAAAUAAACAAUAUUAUAAUUAUGUGUUUGCCAUUGUCAUAUCAAACUUGCUUUGUAUCAUACUAAUGUUACAUAACUUAUCGAUCAAUAAAAAUACAUUUCAAUGUUA